CUUUUUCGUUGAAAAUCAUACCGAGAUUGCAGGAAUGGAAAUGUUAUUUUGGAUGCUUGGUUGACGGGUCAUAACACCGUUUCCCCCAGUGGGAAGACUUUAAGGAAGGAAGAGUUAAUAAGUGAAAAUCCGUUAUAAGAUUAUGCUAUCGUCAUUUCAUAUCAAUUUAUAACUUAUAAAUAUUGCAGGAUCACAAAUGUUUUUCAGAGAACCUUCCUCAUGAGGAUUACAAGCUUCAAAAUGAAAGAUGCACCACUUGAACCCAUAUGCAGUAUCAUAAGAAAACAAUGAUCAACCAUCAACAUCAGGCUUACAAUGUGAAACUCUUAAGAAGCAUAACACUGAUACAUAUGCUGCCAAGAAAUGCUGCAAGAAGUUCUCAAAUACUGUAGAAAAUCUGAGAAAGCAAAUUGAACACAAUGAUAUUGAAAAAUUUGGCCUAAAAAAGAAAAAUACUUGAUCUCAAAAAAAUUAAUCUCAGUAAACUCUUAGUCAAUGAGGAAAUACCAAACCCUGUA